AUUGAACGCUGGCGGCAUGCCUUACACAUGCAAGUCGAACGGCAGCACGGGGGCAACCCUGGUGGCGAGUGGCGAACGGGUGAGUAAUGCAUCGGAACGUGCCCGGAAGUGGGGGAUAACGUAGCGAAAGUUACGCUAAUACCGCAUAUUCUGUGAGCAGGAAAGCAGGGGAUCGCAAGACCUUGCGCUUUCGGAGCGGCCGAUGUCGGAUUAGCUAGUUGGUGGGGUAAAGGCUUACCAAGGCGACGAUCCGUAGCUGGUCUUAGAGGAUGAGCAGCCACGCUGGGACUGAGACACGGCCCAGACUCCUACGGGGAGCAGCAGUGGGGAAUUGUGGACAAUGGGGGCAACCCUGAUCCAGCCAUGCCGCGUGAGUGAAGAAGGCCUUCGGGUUGUAAAGCUCUUUCGGACAGAAAGAAAUCGCAUCGGCUAAUACUCGAUGUGGAUGACGGUACUGUCAUAAGAAGCACCGGCUAACUACGUGCCAGCAGCCGCGGUAAAAC
rnacentral:rRNA from 1 species